rnacentral:rRNA from 1 species
AUGAGGCCGGCGUGGGGCAACCCGAAAGGUUUGCUGUUCCACCCUUCCGGGGACAAUGUUUUUGUUGCUGAAUUUGGCACCCAAGCAGAUAGAGCUCGGGUGAUCGAGGGCUCGCCGUGGAUGGUGGGCAAACAUGUUGUUCUUCUCAAAGUGUUUGAUCAGAACACCCCACCCCUUCAGGUUUAGUUUGACAGCCUUGCCAUCUGGGCUCGGAUCAUGAAUUUGCCGCCAAGGUUGAUGAAAUCAAAGCUGGGAAUGGAGUUUGCCAAGACAAUUGGCCAUGUCUCCAAAGUGGAGGCUGAUUCUGAUGGCCGGUGCUGGGGAGGCUAUAUGAGGGUCAGAGUGGAGAUUGCGGUACAAGAACCGAUUGUUCGGUAUGUGACUGUGACCUCGGCCAGGCUCAAAUCCACAGAUACCUACUCAGUGAUGUACGAGCGUCUUCCUUUUUACUGCUUCUCAUGUGGGCGCCUGGGGCACUCUUCAAUCUUAUGUCCAAGUCCUGGCAUCAGAGAUGACAAUGGGGAGCUCCCUUAUGCUGCUAAGAAACUGUGUGUGGCCGAUGUCACCUCCAGGAAAUCGGGUGGAUCACGAUCUAGUAGUUCAUCAACGUCAGCUGGGGGUGAUGGCAGGGCAGGUGGUGCAAGGUUGUCUUCAUCGAGCCAUGCCAAUCCUAAAGGCCAAGCUAACGUUGCAGAAGUGGAUGGUGAGGUUUCCUCCCCUCCUAAGCGAGGGUCCAGGGGCCGUGGCCGUGGUCCUUCCUCCUGUGGUCGCGGGAGGGGAAGAGGUUCUGUUGAUAAGGAGCUAUUUCCGAAAUCAAAUGAGAAAAUGACAACUACAGGUCAGAAGAGGAAAUCUGCCAAAGCACUUCCUUUGUCCUCGACAUCUGAGCCGAAGCAGGCGGAUGCUAAUGUGUUGGCCCUGGUAGUGGCUCCGGUGUCCAACGCGGCUUGUACUUCCGAAGUUCAGGUCACCGAUGUGGAAUCUAACAAGAAACAACGUGUCUCAAUAUCUCGAUCGGCGGAUCCAGUGGAGGCUGCAGGGCAGCCCCGCCAGACGCAAUGA